GGCGGCGAAGGCGGUAACCUGGUCUGUUACUGACGCUCAGGCACGAAAGCGUGGGGAGCAAAUAGGAUUAGAUACCCUAGUAGUCCACGCCCUAAACGAUGAUUACUAAAUGUUGGGGAAACUCAGUGUUGUAGCUAACGCAAUAAGUAAUCCGCCUGGGGAGUAUGCACGCAAGUGUGAAACUUAAAGGAAUUGACGGGGCCCCGCACAAGCGGUGGAGUAUGCGGUUUAAUUCGACGCAACGCGAAGAACCUUACCAGGGCUUGACAUCCCCUGCAAAACUAUAGAGAUAUGGCAGAGGUUAUCAGGGUGACAGGUGGUGCAUGGUUGUCGUCAGCUCGUGUCGUGAGAUGUUGGGUUAAGUCCCGCAACGAGCGCAACCCUUGUCUUUAGUUACCAUCAUUUAGUUGGGGACUCUAGAGGGACUGCCGGUGAUAAACCGGAGGAAGGUGGGGAUGACGUCAAAUCAUCAUGCCCUUUAUGUCUUGGGCUACACGCGGACUACAAUGGCGUACACAACAAGAAGCAAUACAGCGAUGUGGAGCAAAACUUACAAAUUACGUCUCAGUUCGGAUCGAAGUCUGCAACCCGACUUCGUGA
rnacentral:rRNA from 1 species